rnacentral:rRNA from 1 species
AUUAGAACGCUGGCGGCGUGCUUAACACAUGCAAGUCGAUCGGUAACAGGUGUAGCAAUACAUGCUGACGAGAGGCGGACGGGUGAGUAAUGCUUGGGAAUCUGCCUAUUAGUGGGGGACAACCCGGGGAAACUCGGGCUAAUACCGCAUACGCUCUACGGAGGAAAGCCGGGGACCGCAAAGGCCUGGCGCUAAUAGAUGGAGCCCAAGUCCGGAUUAGCUAGUUGGAGGGUAACGGCCUACCAAGGCGACAAUCCG